rnacentral:rRNA from 1 species
AGUGAACGCUGGCGGCAGGCCUAACACAUGCAAGUCGAGCGGCAGCGCGGGGGCAACCCUGGCGGCGAGCGGCGGACGGGUGAGGAAUUCGUCGGAAUCUGCCUUUUUGUGGGGGAUAACGUAGGGAAACUUACGCUAAUACCGCAUACGUCCUACGGGUGAACGUGGGGGACCGCAAGGCCUCACGCGGAAAGAUGAGCCGACGACCGAUUAGCUAGUUGGUGGGGUAAAGGCCCACCAAGGCGACGAUCGGAAGCUGGUCUGAGAGGAUGAUCAGCCACACUGGGACUGAGACACGGCCCAGACUCCUACGGGAGGCAGCAGUGGGGAAUAUUGGACAAUGGGCGCAAGCCUGAUCCAGCCAUGCCGCGUGUGUGAAGAAGGCCUUCGGGUUGUAAAGCACUUUUGUCCGGAAAGAAAUCCCUGGAGCUAAUACCUUCGGGGGAUGACGGUACCGGAAGAAUAAGCACCGGCUAACUUCGUG